rnacentral:lncRNA from 1 species
UCCGGUAUUUGGAAUACUUAUCACCUCUAAUCGACCUGCAUGAAAGAAAAUCCCACGGAAUAUUUUCUUUUCUUUUCUUUCAAGUCCCGUGGAAUACGUUUUGAUUUCCAAAUUUGAACCUCGCAUUUGGAAAGGUGUUAAUAAGGUGGCCAUAAGGAUUUUGUGAGUGGAAGACGUCGUCUCCACAGUCACACAGAGCCUUUAGAGAACAUGUGAUUGCUAACGCCGGAGCUCUUACUUACGGGUCGCAAAUGAAGAGAUUGCAUAAUUAAGCAGGCGAAGUGCAAACCACUUUUCUUGAGAGAGAGAGAGAGCAAUUGGCCAAAAACAUAACACUUACUGAUGCCUGAAUCUGCUUCUGGCAAACAGAAGGAUCUUCAGUGAUCUAGUUUCCCAGCUAUAAGCACACAGGGAUGUGAGGAGUAGAUACCUACAGGCUACAGGGUAGACUUUAG